GGCUCAGAACGAACGUUGGCGGCAUGGAUCACGCAUGCAAGUCGAACGAAUCCCAGGGGGCAACUCCUGGGGGAAGUGGCGAAAGGGGCAGUAAGGCAUGGGUAACUUGCCCCGGGGACCGGGAUAGCCACCCCAACGGGUGGGUAAUACCGGGCGUCGUAGCGAGGUGGCAUCAUUUUGCUACGAAAGGAGAUUCGCCCCGGGAGAGGCUCAUGUGGUAUUAGCUUGUUGGCGGGGUAACGGCCCACCAAGGCCAAGAUGCCUAGCGGGUGUGAGAGCACGACCCGCGCCACUGGCACUGGGACACUGGCCAGACUCCUACGGGAGGCUGCAGUCGAGGAUCUUCGGCAAUGGGCGCAAGCCUGACCGAGCGAUGCCGCGUGUGCGAUGAAGGCCCUCGGGUUGUAAAGCACUGUCGGGGGGGAGAAAAGCCUCGCAAGAGGUCUGAUCGACCCCCGGAGGAAGCACGGGCUAAGUUCGUGCCAGCAGCCGCGGUAAGACGAACCGUGCGAACGUUGUUCGGAAUCACUGGGCUUAAAGGGCGCGUAGGCGGGCUGCCAAGUCAGGGGUGAAAUCCUGCGGCUCAACCGUAGAAGUGCCUUUGAUACUGGCAGCCUGGAGGGAGGUAGGGGCGUGCGGAACUUCCGGUGGAGCGGUGAAAUGCGUAGAUAUCGGAAGGAACACCGGUGGCGAAAGCGGCGCGCUGGACCUCUUCUGACGCUGAGGCGCGAAAGCCAGGGGAGCGAACGGGAUUAGAUACCCCGGUAGUCCUGGCCCUAAACGAUGGGUACUAGGUAGUGGACUUGACAUGGGUUCACUGCCGAAGCAAAAGUGCUAAGUACCCCGCCUGGGGAGUAUGGUCGCAAGGCUGAAACU
rnacentral:rRNA from 1 species